UUUGACCUCAAAUCGGGUGGGAUUACCCACUGAACUUAGCUAUCA
rnacentral:rRNA from 1 species